rnacentral:lncRNA from 10 species
GGUGAGAGUAUUUUUUACCAUGCUAAUGCAUUAUAAUUAGCAUGUAAUGAGCAGUGAGGACCACCAGAGGUCACUAUCAUUGCCAUCUUGGUUUUGCUAUGUCUCCCAGGCCGGAGUGCUGGAGUGCAGUGGUGCGAUAGAUCACAACUCACUGAUCACUAAUGGCUCACUAACCGUGUAUUGGUCAAGCUGGUUUCGAACUCCUGGGCUCAAGCAAUCCUCCUACCUCAGCCUCCCAACGUCCUGGGAUGACAGGCAUGAGCCACCACGCCUGGCUGUAUUAAGAUUUUUUUUUAAAUACACAAAGUAAUGUAGAGAGACAUCAUGUUAUAAAGUACCUCUAAGCCCCUGAUUUCCUUGUGUCCUC